CCUGACAUCCCAGAAUGGAGACAGGAUGUGGGGAGAGUCAUUAAGAAGACUCUGCUCCAACACCCUUGGUGGAUUCCAGCCCGAGACACAGCAGUUCAGCCAUGCUGAUACUCCUAUCAGUAGUAUUCCUUGGUUUAGCAGUGUUUGUCAUCUACAAAUUCAAGAGGUAUGUACAGCACUUUAUGAUGAUAUCUUUGAACACAUCGAAGCACAGGUCUAAUCACCUGCCAUCAUCAUUAACCUUUUCGCACGUACCAACAAACAGGUGUGAUCAUUCUACAGUGGUGCCUGCAGCGUACACUCAAACCAGUGUGAUUAGAACGCUUAUUUAGAACGUCCUGUUUCGAUUGACGCAAUAGUCAGCAUUUGAGCUGGCCACAAUUUGUUCACAGAAACAUUUUGCAGAAACACAAAAUUAUGUCCAAAAUGUGACCAGUUUAUUUUUGGAUGGAAUGUUCAGACAUUCACAGAAGUAGCUACAGCAUAAGACAAUCAUCCAAACAGGAAAAUGUAGGCUAAAUUUGUCCUAGCGCCUAACUGAGGAAAGAUUGAGUAACGCAAGCGGUCAUAUUUUUAUAACUCUCGGCUGACAGAAACUACAAUGUGACUUAAAUAAUAGUAAUUACUAUGUAUAGUUAAUCACAUCACUGGUGAGCUCACCAUUGAUCAAAAUAAUUGAGUAAAACACUUUCUAGGAAUCGAAAGUAAUCCGACGAUGGGUAGUUUGUGCGCUACCAUGUUUGUUUUUUUGCAUCAACCAAAGAAUAUAAGAGGAGACAAGAUGAGUUUUGUCUGUUUAUAGUAUGCAUGUUGAAGGGGAUGUGUUGUCUACAAAUGAGUGAACCCUCCCUCACGUCAUUAUAACAUAUUUGGUCUGACAGACGUUUAUGUGAAACCCAGAAUGCAUUGUAUGUCAACAACCAUGGCUCCACACAUAGCUGGC
rnacentral:lncRNA from 1 species